rnacentral:rRNA from 1 species
UACGGGGGGGGGUAAGCGUUGUUCGGAAUUACUGGGCGUAAAGGGCGCGUAGGCGGCCAGCACAAGUCAGUUGUGAAAUCUCCGAGCUUAACUCGGAACGGUCAACUGAUACUGUGCGGCUAGAGUGCGGAAGGGGCAACUGGAAUUCUUGGUGUAGCGGUGAAAUGCGUAGAUAUCAAGAGGAACACCUGCGGCGAAGGCGGGUUGCUGGGCUGAUACUGACGCUGAGGCGCGAAAGCGUGGGGAGCAAACAGG